AGGACUAACGCUGGCGGCGUGCCUAACACAUGCAAGUCGAACGGGGUAGCAAUACCCAGUGGCAGACGGGUGAGUAACACGUGGUCAACCUACCUCUGUGUGGGGGAUAACUAGCCGAAAGGUUAGCUAAUACCGCAUACGAUCGUUUUGAGGCAUCUCGAGACGAUGAAAGGAGCAAUCCGCACGGAGAGGGGACUGCGUCCCAUUAGUUAGUUGGUGGGGUAACGGCCUACCAAGACUCCGAUGGGUAGCUGGCUUGAGAGAGCGACCAGCCACACUGGAACUGAGAAACGGUCCAGACUCCUACGGGAGGCAGCAGUGAGGAAUUUUCCGCAAUGGGCGAAAGCCUGACGGAGCGACGCCGCGUGUGGGAUGAAGGCCUUCGGGUCGUAAACCACUGUCGAAGGGACGAUAAUGACGGUACCCUUGGAGGAAGCCCGGCUAACUACGCGCCAGCAGCCGC
rnacentral:rRNA from 1 species